rnacentral:rRNA from 1 species
UACAGAGGGGGCAAGCGUUGUUCGGAAUUACUGGGCGUAAAGGGCGCGUAGGCGGCCUUCUAAGUCAGACGUGAAAUCCCUCGGCUCAACCGGGGAACUGCGUCUGAGACUGGAAGGCUUGAAUCCGGGAGAGGGAUGGUGGAAUUCCAGGUGUAGCGGUGAAAUGCGUAGAUAUCUGGAGGAACACCGGUGGCGAAGGCGGCAUCCUGGACCGGUAUUGACGCUGAGGCGCGAAAGCCAGGGGAGCAAACGGG